rnacentral:rRNA from 1 species
UGGGGAAUAUUGCACAACGGGCGCAAGCCUGAUGCAGCCAUGCUGCGUGUAUGAAGAAGGCCUUCGGGUUGUAAAGUACUUUCAGUCGGGAGGAAGGUGGUAAGGUUAAUAACCUUAUCAAUUGACGUUACCGACAGAAGAAGCACCGGCUAACUCCGUGCCAGCAGCCGCGGUAAUACGGAGGGUGCAAGCGUUAAUCGGAAUUACUGGGCGUAAAGCGCACGCAGGCGGUUGAUUGAGUCAGAUGUGAAAUCCCCGGGCUUAACCCGGGAAUUGCAUCUGAUACUGGUCAGCUAGAGUCUUGUAGAGGGGGGUAGAAUUACAUGUGUAGCGGUGAAAUGCGUAGAGAUGUGGAGGAAUACCGAUGGCGGAGGCGGCCCCAUGAACAAAAACUGACGCUCAGGUGCGAAAGCAUGGGGAGCUAACAGG